GCAGAAACACUUUCCCCUUCGACAUUGUUGUUCUUCCUAAGCUCUUUUCUACGCAGCUCAAAAUCACUCCUUCACAUAAAUCUUCAACGUUUCAAGCAAUCUCAGCACAUCAAUGAAAGAGAUGAAGAUUUAAGUCAUUCGUUCUUAUCUUCUUCGAUUAGAUGAGUUAAAUGCAAGAUCAGGUUUCGUGUUUUCAUCCAUGUCGAGGUCCAAGGAUAACUGAGCUACUGCCACAGCUAACUGUGAGCGAGAAAGAAAGAAAAAAGCAACCCAACAUCAAAGACAUGCUCACUUACAACUGUGAGCUUUCAAUGUAGUUCAUACGGUGUAAGCGACUUUGGUUUUAUUUAACUUCCAUGAUAAGUAUAAAUGUAGUAAAUGACUGCAUUUCUUAAACAUUUUUGAAUCUGGGACCUGCAUAUAUGUAGAAUGAUCAGAUAUUGGGUAUCAUAGAAUACAAGAGGUGUGGCCAAGACUUGAAUUUA